ensembl:lncRNA
CGUGUACACUUGUGCACUUCAAAAAUUCAUUGUAUACUGUACCUUCUUGCACGUCUGUUUCCUGUGUGUGUUGUUAGAAAUCAAACUAACUUUAGGAAACAAUAUGCCAAAAGCAUAUUUACAAUUACUUAAGACCGUUUUUAAUUUCUUUUCUUUAGACCAAAUCCCCUGUACACAUAUACGGACUCAGAGGAUGAGCAACCUACAAAGAAACGGUUUCCCCAGGCCCCUCGAGUGAAAAUACCAGCCCUCAUCACUCCAGUCUGCCCCCCAGCCCACUGAUAGCAACCAUCAUAAUGCCCCACCCAGCUUCCGGCACCUUUCGCCACUCCGGCACAAACCGACACAGCUUUGCGAUCUCGCCAGCAUGCAGUCUGAUGUCUUCCCUAUAGAUGAUUCCAGAGACUCUGUGAGGCCACUAUUACAA